rnacentral:rRNA from 1 species
AUUGAACGCUGGCGGCAGGCCUAACACAUGCAAGUCGAACGGUAACAGGAAGCAGCUUGCUGCUUUGCUGACGAGUGGCGGACGGGUGAGUAAUGUCUGGGAAACUGCCCGAUGGAGGGGGAUAACUACUGGAAACGGUAGCUAAUACCGCAUAACGUCGCAAGACCAAAGAGGGGGACCUUAGGGCCUCUUGCCAUCGGAUGUGCCCAGAUGGGAUUAGCUAGUAGGUGGGGUAACGGCUCACCUAGGCGACGAUCCCUAGCUGGUCUGAGAGGAUGACCGGCCACACUGGAAAUGAGACACGGUCCAGACUCCUACGGGAGGCAGCAGUGGGGAAUAUUGCACAGUGGGCGGAAGCCUGAUGCAGCCAUGCCGCGUGUAUGAAGAAGGCCUUCGGGUUGUAAAGUACUUUCAUCGGGGAUGAAGAGAGUAAAGGUAAUACCUUUGCUCAUUGACGUUACCCGCAGAAGAAGCACCGGCUAACUCCGUG